CACUCCUACGGGAGGCAGCAGUGGGGAAUAUUGGACAAUGGGCGCAAGCCUGAUCCAGCCAUGCCGCGUGAGUGAUGAAGGCCCUAGGGUUGUAAAGCUCUUUCACCGGUGAAGAUAAUGACGGUAACCGGAGAAGAAGCCCCGGCUAACUUCGUGCCAGCAGCCGCGGUAAUACGAAGGGGGCUAGCGUUGUUCGGAUUUACUGGGCGUAAAGCGCACGUAGGCGGACUAUUAAGUCAGGGGUGAAAUCCCGGGGCUCAACCCCGGAACUGCCUUUGAUACUGGUAGUCUUGAGUUCGAGAGAGGUGAGUGGAAUUCCGAGUGUAGAGGUGAAAUUCGUAGAUAUUCGGAGGAACACCAGUGGCGAAGGCGGCUCACUGGCUCGAUACUGACGCUGAGGUGCGAAAGCGUGGGGAGCAAACAGGAUUAGAUACCCUAGUAGUCCCAU
rnacentral:rRNA from 1 species